rnacentral:lncRNA from 1 species
CAGAGAUUCAGAUCUGAUGGGUGGGAUGUAUUCCUGUGCAACAUCAGUCUGUUACCCACUGACGAAAGUACUCUCCUGGCUGAUGGAAGUCUUUAAAGAACAACUGAACAUGUUUUUUUUUCUGCACAAAUGCUUUGACCAUUAAGCACUUGGAUGAUCUUUGACAUUACAAAAUAAAUUGCUCCUGCAUGAAGGAAGAUGCAGAAAUAUCAGAGACCCAGGCAUCUUGGUCUGCAUUCAGGGGAAAGCUCUGGUGCUACACUGAAAAUUCAUAGACUACUUGUUGCAUGGCUGGCAAACUGGGAUACAUGGCCUCGAGCAGGGACUAAGCUCCCUGCAAGCUCCUGGUGACCUCUUCUGUUUGAAAUGAGGCAAACACCACAGAUGGUGGAGUGGCAUUUCAGCCUGCAAUGGGAAUUCUUCUUCAGAGUUUGCCUCAGCACCUCUUGUUUAAUGCAUUUUUUAAUUUUUUUUCUUCACUUUUAAUAUUGCCAG